CCCUCAUUAUUUGAGGGCCACCACAUUAAGGUGAAGGUUUUUUUUUUCUUUCCCCAAAUCUCACAAUUUCCUUAAAACUAAACCCAUCAGAUUAGAUCUCUCUCCCGUCAGUAACCCCUUACUUAUUUCCUCUUCUCAUUCGAUUCCUAAUCAGCUCGCAGAGAUAAAUUCCUAAAAAUCUAAGCUUCAUCUUCAACUUUCAAUAUAAGUUAUGUAAGCCUAAUCUAAAUCGUCAAGGAAUUCCUACAUUCUCCCAAUUUUUCCUGUUCUUUUCAAUUUAAUAUCAAUUUUUUUUAGAUUUCCCUGCAAGUUCAUCCAUGUUUCCGGAUUUUAGAUAUUAUAUAAGUAAAUUUGAUGGGAAACGAAGAUAGUGGCAUCGACCCUGGUGGUGGUACCAUAACGUUCUGGUGUUGAGUCGUCGCAAACACCGCUUAAAAUUUGCACUUGUCUCACAAAGUUCUGGUGUUAAAAAUAAGUUCAUAGUGAAUUUUUUAAUCGUAGUAAAGUUUUAAUCUUGGGUCAAAAAUAGAUCUUUUUAAUUAUAGUUUCUUCUUGCCUCUGUUUCCUUAAUUGGUUGUGGAAUCCCAUAUAAAAAGUUGUUGUUUCUUCAUCUGUUGAGAAGCAUUGUAUUGUAUUUUGUUGGUCCACCAAGUGUUCCCUUGGUGGUGUCAAGGAUGAGACUGAUAUUAGAUGUCAUCCGAGAACUUACAUUGGAAGCAUGCUCGGACGAUGCCUUAUUGAUGGGUUAAAGGUACAGAGUGAACGCUCUGCCUGGCCUGAUGUGCAGCAAAUGAGAGGAAAAUCCUCAAAGUUGAUCAUGUUGAAUUGGAAAGAAAAGAGAGAAAUCUUCGGAUUCUGCAAAAUUUUGAGAUUGUCAUGUUGCAACUGAUAUUUACCCAUGGACUGAUUGUAUCAAGUUUUACAAGCUUAUGAUUGUACAAAGCAUGAAACUAAGAAGUUGGAGGGCGCGACUGCUGAAACGUUUGAUACUGCGAAAGCUCUACAAGUGUUUAUAUUUAUAGAACUUGUAGUUCUUGAAAUAGGGAUGAGAGUCUCCUCUAUGAUUAUGUGUUUACCUCGAAAAAUGCGAGUAAAAAUUAAUUUUGAUUUGUGGUUUUAAUGAUAUGUGAUUUAGUUCAA